CUUCCCGCCGCCGGCCCCUGAGCUGCCGCCCCAGCCCCGCAGGAGCUCCUUCUCACCUUCAGUCCCGGAUUCCCCCUUUUCCAGGGUCUCCCUCAGAUAACCCUUCUCCCCCAAUCCUACGUUCAAAGCCACCACGACCAAAGUGGGCGAAUUGGGGGUGAGGCCCUUCCUUUGCUGCACCCCUUAACCCAGCUGUCCCUAUGUCCCCCCUCCAACCUGGAGCUGAGAGCUGGGAACUGAGGACCAGAGACCCAGAAAGGUGAGGUUGGUCCGGGAGCGUGGGUUCUCAAGAAGUACCACGGUGCUGGUGCCAGGAGAGGCUCCAAGGUGGGGAAACUGAGGUUUAGAGAAGGACGUUGUCCAAGGUCACGGGAAAGGGGCAACAGGCAGGAGCUGGAUACAGGUCUGUGACUGACACCAACAGCUGACUUUAACACCCACAGUGAGGCCCCACUUUGCGUUCUUUCCCACGGCCAUUCAGCUUGCAGAGGGAUAGCCAGCGUCUGUCUCUUGACUCCAGGAGCAGCGAGGAAGAGAUGUAGCCCUGAGACUGUGGGCUCUGGUGUUCCAGGCUGUCGUGCACAUGGCUGUGGGUCAGACCUAACGUGUGUGCCAGGCUCAGAACAAGUGUGCUUAUGGGGAGAGGGGGUUGACGGAGCUGCAUGUGGAGCCAUAGGCCAUGACACUGGUGAGUUGCCAGUCAGCACCAGGCUUCCACGUGCCAUGAGCUGCAUCUGUUGUUCCCUCUUCUGUCUGCCGGGGUCUUGCUGUGCACUUCAGGCUGGUUUUGAGCUCACUUCAUAGCCCAGGGUUCUUGCCUCUGAACACCGGAGCAGAGCCCUCUCUUCUCAAGAUCAGGGGAAUCGCCUCCUAGACUUUGCCUCUGUUACCAGCAUCGUCUUGCUGUCCACAUUCAGUACCAGGGAGAGCUCCCGGCAGAGCCCGG